UACGUAGGCAGCAAGCGUUGUUCGGAGUUACUGGGCGUAAAGGGUGCGUAGGCGGCUUUUUAAGUCUGGUGUGAAAUCUCCCGGCUCAACUGGGAGGGUGCGCCGGAUACUGAGGGGCUAGAGUGUGGGAGAGGAAAGUGGAAUUCCUGGUGUAGCGGUGAAAUGCGUAGAUAUCAGGAGGAACACCGGUGGUGUAAACGGCUUUCUGGACCAUAACUGACGCUGAGGCACGAAAGCGUGGGGAGCGAACCGG
rnacentral:rRNA from 1 species